rnacentral:rRNA from 1 species
AUUGAACGCUGGCGGCAGGCCUAACACAUGCAAGUCGAACGAGCGGCGGACGGGUGAGUAAUGUAUGGGAAACUGCCCGAUAGAGGGGGAUAACUACUGGAAACGGUGGCUAAUACCGCAUACUAUCGGAUGAACCCAUCUGGGAUUAGCUAGUAGGUGGGGUAAAGGCUCACCUAGGCGACGAUCUCUAGCUGGUCUGAGAGGAUGACCAGCCACACUGGAACGGAGACAAGGGCCAGACUCCUACGGGAGGCAGCAGUGGGGAAUAUUGCACAAUGGGCGCAAGCCUGAUGCAGCCAUGCCGCGUGUAUGAAGAAGGCCUUCGGGUUGUAAAGUACUUUCAGCGGGGAGGCGUUACCCGCAGAAGAAGCACCGGCUAACUCCGUGCCAGCAGCCGCGGUAAUUC